UCCGAUUAAUGGACACAAUGGGUGUUCCUUCCAGCCUUAUUUCAGAAUUUGUUCACUCCUCACCUCCAAAGAAUGGCUGGAGCGCCACCAGCCCAAUUACCUUCAAAACAUCAUGCAGCUCAUCAGCAACCAGUUGUUGGAAGUUGAAUUCGGAGGCUCUUACAGCAGCAUGAUGAGCUAUGUGCCCGCCAGCGCUAUCAACCGCGAUAAAGCAGCGUGAAAUAUUCGGAUUCUCUGGAAACUUUUUCGACCUAUUCUCUUCAAUGUCCAAAAACCUCAGCACAUCAAUCCCAUCGUCAUGUUGCGCAGGGUGUCGUUGCUCAGGUGCAAGACGAUAAUCAACAGAAACAACUAUCACAUGCAAUUCUCUCG